UGAUUAGGUAUUUUAAAAAAAAAAGCAAGUGUUGCAUGCUUAUAUUGGAUAAAUCAAUCCCCUAGUCAU
rnacentral:tRNA from 1 species